rnacentral:lncRNA from 1 species
UUCAUUAAAUGCAAAUCACUGCAGAACUAUGGAUAGUGCAGGAGGAGGUUGAGGCUCUGUUGAAGGCUUGAGAAGAUGGUUUGCAGCAAAAAUGCUCUGAUCAACUAAUCAACUAGCAAAAGGUGACAUAUAAAUGCUUUCGCAUACAGGGUCAGGUUAUGCCACAGAGCAAAGCUAGGUAGCUUUUGAAUUUUGGCUUAGGCCCUGUUAGUUCCCACACAAAAACUUUUCACCCUGUCACAUCGAAUGUUUGGACACAUACAUGGAGUAUUAAAUAUAGACAAAAAAACUAAUUACACAGAUUGCGUGUAAAUUGCGAGACAAAUCUUUUAAGUCUAUUGCUCCAUUAUUUGAUAAUGUGGUGCUACAGUAAACAUUUUCUAAUGGCUGAUUAAUUAGGCUUAAAAAAAUCGUCUCGCAGCUUACAGACAUAAUCUGUAAUUUGUUUUGUUAUUAGUCUACGUUUAAUACUUCAAAUGUGUGUCCGUAUAUCCGAUGUGACACGCCAAAACUUUUCACCUCUGGAUCUAAACACAGCCUUACUUUUACCUGCUUAGAGUAGUCUUCAUAGUCCCAUCUUUCCUUGAUGAACUGAUGAGUAGAGCUCAAGUCUUACUAUUUGAAAAAACAUGUCACAAUAUCACUGACAACAUAUUCUGGUAUUACUUUGAGCAGCAACUGAAAAGAAGAAUCACCAAUACUAUGAGACAUGAAUUUCUCCUUGAAACAUACAGAACGUUAACCUUAUCAUGAAAUAAUCAAAACGGCAUAAUGCUAACUUUUUUUAAACAGAGGACAAGUACUGCUUUCAUUUUUCAUCAAGAAAGAAAAUUCAUACAUUCUGUGAUAAAGCUAGUAGUGCCCAGCCUAUUUGCAGCUUCUUUUCUUUUCUUUCAGAAGCUGAACUAGUGUGGUACUACUCGAAAGGCAGGAAAUAAAUAGCUAAUGCCUAUGCGUUCAAUCAGGUCUUGCCGUGCGAGAUUAGCUCUGAGAUAAAAACAGGCCACGCACAACUUAAGGUAGCAAAUCAUGAUUAUCUAAGAGGGAAAUACUUGAACCAUCCAUCACUUUAGAAUAGGGUGUUCUAGAUGCAGGAAGUAAUAUGAACUUUAGGACAACAUGUACUGAUGUACAGUUUAAAGCAUAUUAUCACUAGAAUACUAGAUUAGGGAAAUUCUCCACAAAAAGCAAGCCCGGGAGGAGGCGAAGAACGUACCUACCAGCAUUCCCGAAUCCCAGUCCCCUAGUUACUGAUCAAGGCAAGGAAGCAUUCUCGGCGACCAAAUACCUAGCCCUCACUCGGGGUAGCAGCCCCCGUCACAGGCAUUGCCGAUGCGCCCGCUAAUCUGCGGAGCGGCGCGGAUGCGGGCCGGGAGCGUCUUGCGGAGAGAAGCCGACAAAGCAGCACCUCACGACGGCGAAAAACGCCGCCCCGCGCCGUCGCCGCCGGCCAUGGCCACCAUCUUCACUGGCUUUUCCCCUCUCUCGCGCGGCGUGAGAAGGAAAGCAUAGUACUCCUAACGGGCUAUGGG